rnacentral:rRNA from 1 species
CGAGGAAUGUUGGACAAUGGGCGCAAGCCUGAUCCAGCAAUGCCGCGUGUGUGAAGAAGGCCUGAGGGUUGUAAAGCACUUUUAUGAGUAAAGAAAGUUAAAGAUUAAUACUCUUUAACCCUGACGGUAACUCAGGAAUAAGCACCGGCUAACUCCGUGCCAGCAGCCGCGGUAAUACGGAGGGUGCAAGCGUUAAUCGGAUUUACUGGGCGUAAAGCGUCCGUAGGUGGCUUGUCAAGUUGGAUGUGAAAGCCCAGGGCUCAACCUUGGAAUUGCAUCCAAAACUGGCUCGCUAGAGUAUGUGAGAGGGGGGUAGAAUUUCUGGUGUAGCGGUGAAAUGCGUAGAGAUC